rnacentral:lncRNA from 1 species
CAUAUCAUUGUCUGUUGGCCCCUGCCCGUGUGUCGUCGUCUAGGCGUGGUUUUCACCGCCACGUAGUGGCGCCAUGACCUCGGCCGGGCGUGCCGGACUUGUGGUCCUAGGAUUAUGGGCCGAGUUCCUUCCUCAUCCACGCGUAGCAUAUGUGAGAAUGGUGUAACAUUAUGUCUUCUCUAGCUCACAGCUCUACAUUAAUAUAGUUUGAAACCGUCUGUAGCGUGACAACGAACAACUUGAACAACCAGACAAAUCUAAAUUACAACACAAACAUACAACAAACUAGAGGAUAUCGUCUAGACUAUACAUGGAGGCGU